CACGAGGGACACCACCAUACACACAUGUGUUGCGAAUUCGGGAUGAUUUGCCAAAUUUAGUACAUUCUUGCUGAAUUUGGACAGCUAAUUCACGCGUUGGAGCAAGAACGAGUACAAUUGGACCAUCGCCUGGAGAAAGUAGUGGUUGGGCAUUAAUAUGUACGAUAGCAGGAAGACAAUAAGAAAGUGUCUUACCAGAACCCGUAGCUGAAAUGCCUACCAUAUCUCUACCAGACAUAGCCAUCGGCCAUGCUUGUUGUUGGAUAGGAGUAGGAGCUUCGAACCCCAAUUGUUUGACUUCCUUUAGUACAUAGUUAGGAAAACCAGCCUCUUCAAAUGUCGUAACAGGUUUAGGAACAUUUAAUCCAUGCACGACAAUUUCUUUUUCUUUACGGUAUUCGGUGACUUCAGCGUCUGAACGAUUGCGAACAUUUUCAUGUUCUUUAUAAAAAUCUUUUUGAAACGGAAUCAAAGUUUCAUUUUUCCAAUCCUUCUUUACCAAAUUAGCACCGGGACCAUCUGACUCGUAAAAAUUUCUUCCUUGUCCUCGUUGAUCGUAGCCAUAAGAAGCGCCAUCAUUGAAACCUCCACGACCGCCGCCACGACUAUAGUUAUUGCGGUAUCCGCCACCAUAACGACUGUAAAAUGUUAAUAUUAAUUAUUUUAAAAAAAAAGGUAAAUCAGUAUCAAUAAUUUUGUACUGAACAGGGGCACGCCCAAUUGUGAAUUCUUACCCUCUGCUGUUAUAGCCAUCCUCUUUUCCAUUGUAAUUUCCACUAUAUUCGUUAUCUCUGUAAGACAUUAUGAUU